rnacentral:rRNA from 1 species
CAGCCGCCGCGGUAAUACAGAGGGUGCGAGCGUUAAUCGGAUUUACUGGGCGUAAAGCGUGCGUAGGCGGUUUGUUAAGUCUGCUGUGAAAUCCCCGGGCUCAACCUGGGAAUGGCAGUGGAUACCGGCAAGCUAGAGUGUGUCAGAGGAUGGUGGAAUUCCCGGUGUAGCGGUGAAAUGCGUAGAGAUCGGGAGGAACAUCAGUGGCGAAGGCGGCCAUCUGGGACAACACUGACGCUGAGGCACGAAAGCGUGGGGAGCAAACAGGAUUAGAUACCGGUAGUCCCUGUCUCUUAUACAC